rnacentral:rRNA from 1 species
GACGAACGCUGGCGGCGUGCUUAACACAUGCAAGUCGAACGGAAAGGCCCUGCUUUUGUGGGGUGCUCGAGUGGCGAACGGGGGAGUAACACGUGAGUAACCUGCCCUUGACUUUGGGAUAACUUUAGGAAACUGGGGCUAAUACCGGAGAGGAGCUCCUGCUCCAUGGGGGGGGUUGGAAAGUUUCGGCGUUUGGGGAUGGACUCGCGGCUUAUCAGCCUGUUUGUGGGGUAGUGGCUUACCAAGGCUUUGACGGGUAGCCGGCCUGAGAGGGUGACCGGCCACAUUGGGCCUGAGAUACGGCCCAGACUCCUACGGGAGGCAGCAGUGGGGAAUAUUGCACAAUGGGCGGAAGCCUGAUGCAGCAACGCCGCGUGCGGGAUGACGGCCUUCGGGUUGUAAACCGCUUUCGCCUGUGACGAAGCGUGAGUGACGGUAAUGGGUAAAGAAGCACCGGCUAACUACGUG